AGAGUCUCCAUCCAGCUGGAUCACUGUCACAGGGAAACCUACAACCACAUCUCCAUCUACUCCCACACCUGUAUCUACAUCCAACUCUAUCCCUACAUCAGCGUCUCCUCCGCAUCUUGUUCUUUCUGUGUUAAUCUCUGUUGGAUCCGUCUGUGUUGUGGUUCUACUGGUGUUACUGGCUCUAUUGGUGAGAAGAGAUGUUGACCGGAAACCUGAAGAGAUUUAUACAGCUGUAGUUUACUCAGCAGUGAGAGCUGAAGACGUCAGUAUUGGAGACAAAACCAUCAGAAAGAGGAGUCCAAGACUUUAAACCAGAGCCAGACGUCCUCUACUCUUCACUGAAGUAGUCCACCAGUCCAACCACUGACGUCCAUCUGCUGGUCUCUAACUGGUCCCCCCAGCACCUCAGACCAGAGGACAUCCAAAUUGAAUUUUACAUGUCUUAAGUCUUUUUUCUCACUGAGAAAACCCAUAGACCCAUAGACUCAAAAAUCGCAUCAUGGAUUUUUUAAAGUGUCCUUUAAUAAGGAAUCACAGCUUCACGGUUUUAUAAAAAUGUUUCAAGUCUUAAAAAAAUUAUGGUUUUUAUGUGUUAUGUCUCUUUUGUAGAAGUGAAACGAGUUAAACAACUCAAAAAAUACAUACAACACAUUUUAACUGGAAUUUAAAAAAAAGUAUUUUGCAGCAAAUCCACAGUAGGAAAAUAAACAUGUGAUUUGUAUUUUUUUUAAAUUUUAUUUCUUAGCACUUGUUCCCAUGGCAACCACCUUGCUUCUGAGGGUUUGUUCUCACUUGUUUUCAGCAUCGAUACAGACGCUGUGCCUUCCUGAUCUGUCACAUCUGGUUUCGUUAUGAUUCAAUUAUGAUGAUAUCACUGUCAAAUUUCAGCAUAUUCAGACAAAGCUGCUGAAGAUGAUUCACAUACACUGAUAUUAAAGUAUCACAUACCAACAGCAAACAGUCAAACAAAGCAGAAGUAAUUUGGGGGACCCCAGGGUGAAGUGUGAACCGUAUGUUCACCUCAUUCAAACAUGGAGAUUUGAAUCUCUCUGUUUUAAAUCUCCACUGCUUUUUCCAGCCUUAACAUUUUUAGCAACAUCAUGUUUGUCUUUAUUGCCAACAGCGAUUCAGUUUUGAUGAAAGGGUGUAGUGCUAAUUUAUUAGCUAGUGUCAGAUAGUUUGGUUAUCAAGCUGCUCCCAUAGACUGUAAGGGGUCAACAGAAAGGCACUGAUAGCUGCUAAAUAGAGCUUAGUAACAUAAAAAAAAGAUCCUAGAAUUAAACUUAAAAGGUUUGUUUAUGCAAUAAGCCAAAUUGUAUUGGUUACACAUUUGCAUUAAAAAUGCCCCCAAAGCACAAACAUGGCUGAACCAUUGGCUGAGGUGAAGCCUAACAGACAGUUGGCAGUUACAGCAGCCUGUGUCCAUCCACCUCUCAGUCAAAGAGGCCACGCCCCUAAUAAUGCAAACUUUCAGCCUUAUUAACAUUUGAACAGGUGAGUUAUAAAGGCAUUCACCUCAUGCACACUUCGUAUGAAGGGGACUGUUAGCUAUAGAGACCAAAUAUAUUUUUAAUAGCAGGUUGUAUAAAUUUUUAUUUCUGCUGUAAAGUUGAACAUGUUCACAUGAGCGUCUGUGGAGAGUGACUGACUUUAUAAAGCUCAAGUGGACAUUAGAGGAACUGCAGCGUUUGGUGCUCUUGGUUUGUUCAGUGUUGUAGUGGGAGGAGUCAGAGACACUGAGUUGGAUGAAAUUGAGAUUUAAUGUUAAAUUAGGUUAACAUUAAAUUAGAUUAAGAUUAAUUACGUCAUAGAAUCAAAAGUAGCUGAAUUUAAGAAACAGGAAGCCUGUGAUGAUGUGUAAAAUAAACCCAGUUUGGAUUAUGAGUAAAUGAUUUUACAUUUAACAGCAUGAUGGUAUCAGUCAAAUAUAUAUUAGUCUGUCUGUAGAUUUUCACCCCAUCCUAAGUCCUGUGUGUUUGUCGUCUGUGGUUAACACUAACGAGUCUGCAACUGUUUCUGAGAAAGAAAAGAAGCUUCAUCUACGUGUGUUUCAACACAGAGGUGUUAAUUUUAAAUAGAGGAAGAAACACAUGUGAGUUAUUUGUAAGAGUAUUUCUGUAAAGUCAGACAGAUCAAGGCUGUUAUCAUAUUUAUUAAAUAUCAAAAUAUAUUUAA